rnacentral:sRNA from 1 species
AUAAACAGAAUUGAAUGAAUCUUCCAAGUCGUCCUUGUUCCCUUAUAUAGGUCUACGCACGUGGUACCUCCGUCCGGGAUCUGCGGAGAUCGUCCUGGAUAUUCGGCAGGUCAGUUCCGAGAUAUCAGGUCCGCUCCGUGAAUAUCUCCUCAUCAGUUCCUAGGUUGUUAUUCGCUUAUCUCCCUUCAUCAGGUGACUGGGCUUAUCUGGCCCAAGUACCCAUUCGCGUAUGUG